AUCAUUUCUUGGCCUUUGACAAAGAUCAAGUGUCGUAUCUGUUCUUACCCAUUUAGUAUCUGACAUGUUCUCUAUCAAGAACAAUAUAUUAAAAGAAUUUGGGGAGCACAGAGUUGGAAUAGGAACUUGCUCCACCCAUUCCAUGCAUCAAUCUGGUAUUGCAGUACCUUCAGGAAUGGUGCACCUUAA